GCAUCAAAGUGGAUUGGGAUACUCUUCAAUUUUUUAUGAAAUGCCGAGUAUACGGUCAUGCCAAUGGCGGGCCUCGACCUUUAUGGUGCAUCCUUUGGGGUGCCGGGGGAUUACAAAGGUAUGGUCGCACUCAAAUCCUUGUAUUUGGUCGGAGUUUCAUCACAUCCUUUGGUGUGGCUUUCUU
rnacentral:sRNA from 1 species